AGCGUACACGGUGGAUGCCCUGGCAGUCAGAGGCGAUGAAGGACGUGCUAAUCUGCGAUAAGCGUCGGUAAGGUGAUAUGAACCGUUAUAACCGGCGAUUUCCGAAUGGGGAAACCCAGUGUGUUUCGACACACUAUCAUUAACUGAAUCCAUAGGUUAAUGAGGCGAACCGGGGGAACUGAAACAUCUAAGUACCCCGAGGAAAAGAAAUCAACCGAGAUUCCCCCAGUAGCGGCGAGCGAACGGGGAGCAGCCCAGAGCCUGAAUCAGUGUGUGUGUUAGUGGAAGCGUCUGGAAAGGCGCGCGAUACAGGGUGACAGCCCCGUACACAAAAAUGCACAUGCUGUGAGCUCGAUGAGUAGGGCGGGACACGUGGUAUCCUGUCUGAAUAUGGGGGGACCAUCCUCCAAGGCUAAAUACUCCUGACUGACCGAUAGUGAACCAGUACCGUGAGGGAAAGGCGAAAAGAACCCCGGCGAGGGGAGUGAAAAAGAACCUGAAACCGUGUACGUACAAGCAGUGGGAGCACGCUUAGGCGUGUGACUGCGUACCUUUUGUAUAAUGGGUCAGCGACUUAUAUUCUGUAGCAAGGUUAACCGAAUAGGGGAGCCGAAGGGAAACCGAGUCUUAACUGGGCGUUAAGUUGCAGGGUAUAGACCCGAAACCCGGUGAUCUAGCCAUGGGCAGGUUGAAGGUUGGGUAACACUAACUGGAGGACCGAACCGACUAAUGUUGAAAAAUUAGCGGAUGACUUGUGGCUGGGGGUGAAAGGCCAAUCAAACCGGGAGAUAGCUGGUUCUCCCCGAAAGCUAUUUAGGUAGCGCCUCGUGAAUUCAUCUCCGGGGGUAGAGCACUGUUUCGGCAAGGGGGUCAUCCCGACUUACCAACCCGAUGCAAACUGCGAAUACCGGAGAAUGUUAUCACGGGAGACACACGGCGGGUGCUAACGUCCGUCGUGAAGAGGGAAACAACCCAGACCGCCAGCUAAGGUCCCAAAGUCAUGGUUAAGUGGGAAACGAUGUGGGAAGGCCCAGACAGCCAGGAUGUUGGCUUAGAAGCAGCCAUCAUUUAAAGAAAGCGUAAUAGCUCACUGGUCGAGUCGGCCUGCGCGGAAGAUGUAACGGGGCUAAACCAUGCACCGAAGCUGCGGCAGCGACACUAUGUGUUGUUGGGUAGGGGAGCGUUCUGUAAGCCUGUGAAGGUGUGCUGUGAGGCAUGCUGGAGGUAUCAGAAGUGCGAAUGCUGACAUAAGUAACGAUAAAGCGGGUGAAAAGCCCGCUCGCCGGAAGACCAAGGGUUCCUGUCCAACGUUAAUCGGGGCAGGGUGAGUCGACCCCUAAGGCGAGGCCGAAAGGCGUAGUCGAUGGGAAACAGGUUAAUAUUCCUGUACUUGGUGUUACUGCGAAGGGGGGACGGAGAAGGCUAUGUUGGCCGGGCGACGGUUGUCCCGGUUUAAGCGUGUAGGCUGGUUUUCCAGGCAAAUCCGGAAAAUCAAGGCUGAGGCGUGAUGACGAGGCACUACGGUGCUGAAGCAACAAAUGCCCUGCUUCCAGGAAAAGCCUCUAAGCAUCAGGUAACAUCAAAUCGUACCCCAAACCGACACAGGUGGUCAGGUAGAGAAUACCAAGGCGCUUGAGAGAACUCGGGUGAAGGAACUAGGCAAAAUGGUGCCGUAACUUCGGGAGAAGGCACGCUGAUAUGUAGGUGAAGUCCCUCGCGGAUGGAGCUGAAAUCAGUCGAAGAUACCAGCUGGCUGCAACUGUUUAUUAAAAACACAGCACUGUGCAAACACGAAAGUGGACGUAUACGGUGUGACGCCUGCCCGGUGCCGGAAGGUUAAUUGAUGGGGUCAGCGCAAGCGAAGCUCUUGAUCGAAGCCCCGGUAAACGGCGGCCGUAACUAUAACGGUCCUAAGGUAGCGAAAUUCCUUGUCGGGUAAGUUCCGACCUGCACGAAUGGCGUAAUGAUGGCCAGGCUGUCUCCACCCGAGACUCAGUGAAAUUGAACUCGCUGUGAAGAUGCAGUGUACCCGCGGCAAGACGGAAAGACCCCGUGAACCUUUACUAUAGCUUGACACUGAACAUUGAGCCUUGAUGUGUAGGAUAGGUGGGAGGCUUAGAAGUGUGGACGCCAGUCUGCAUGGAGCCGACCUUGAAAUACCACCCUUUAAUGUUUGAUGUUCUAACGUUGACCCGUAAUCCGGGUUGCGGACAGUGUCUGGUGGGUAGUUUGACUGGGGCGGUCUCCUCCUAAAGAGUAACGGAGGAGCACGAAGGUUGGCUAAUCCUGGUCGGACAUCAGGAGGUUAGUGCAAUGGCAUAAGCCAGCUUGACUGCGAGCGUGACGGCGCGAGCAGGUGCGAAAGCAGGUCAUAGUGAUCCGGUGGUUCUGAAUGGAAGGGCCAUCGCUCAACGGAUAAAAGGUACUCCGGGGAUAACAGGCUGAUACCGCCCAAGAGUUCAUAUCGACGGCGGUGUUUGGCACCUCGAUGUCGGCUCAUCACAUCCUGGGGCUGAAGUAGGUCCCAAGGGUAUGGCUGUUCGCCAUUUAAAGUGGUACGCGAGCUGGGUUUAGAACGUCGUGAGACAGUUCGGUCCCUAUCUGCCGUGGGCGCUGGAGAACUGAGGGGGGCUGCUCCUAGUACGAGAGGACCGGAGUGGACGCAUCACUGGUGUUCGGGUUGUCAUGCCAAUGGCACUGCCCGGUAGCUAAAUGCGGAAGAGAUAAGUGCUGAAAGCAUCUAAGCACGAAACUUGCCCCGAGAUGAGUUCUCCCUGACUCCUUGA
rnacentral:rRNA from 1 species